GUUUACUUCAAUCAGAGAACCAUUUGAGGCCUCUCCAGACAAUACAAAUAUUUUCUGACGUCCUAAUGAAUGAUACUUCUUAUUCUUCCCAUAAAGGCGGUGGUAGCCACUGUUAUGGCUCUGAUCUACACCACCUCCGCCCUCCCUAACCCAGGUGGCGUAUCAUAUGGCCGUGGAUUCGGUGGUGGAUUUGGUGGAGGAAUUGGCCAUGGUUUAGGAGGUGGAUUUGGUGGAGGAAUUGGCCAUGGAUUAGGAGGUGGAUUUGGGGGUGGAUUUGGCCACGGGGGUGGAUUCGGUGGAGUCUCUGUUGUCCGACCCGUGAUAAGCAGAGUCGUUACCGUCAGCAGAGGAAUCGGACACGGAGGAUUCGGAGGAAUUGGAGGAUUCGGAGGCAGACGGUAUGGCGGCUAUGGGUGGUAAAAUUGAUUAGGUAGAUUACGAUGAAUAAAAUGUCAUAAAUUA